rnacentral:rRNA from 1 species
UACGGAGGGUGCAAGCGUUAAUCGGAAUUACUGGGCGUAAAGCGCACGCAGGCGGUUUGUUAAGUCAGAUGUGAAAUCCCCGAGCUUAACUUGGGAACUGCAUUUGAAACUGGCAAGCUAGAGUCUUGUAGAGGGGGGUAGAAUUCCAGGUGUAGCGGUGAAGUGCGUAGAGAUCUGGAGGAAUACCGGUGGCGAAGGCGGCCCCCUGGACAAAGACUGACGCUCAGGUGCGAAAGCGUGGGGAGCAAACAGG